rnacentral:rRNA from 1 species
GUAAUCUCGAGAAGCAUUAUCCGCGCUGGGCCGUGUACAAGUCUCCUGGAAUGGAGCGUCAUAGAGGGUGAGAAUCCCGUCUCUGACACGGACUUACUGGGGCUUAUGUGAUGUGCUCUCAAAGAGUCGAGUUGUUUGGGAAUGCAGCUCUAAAUGGGUGGUAAAUUCCAUCUAAAGCUAAAUAUUGGCGAGAGACCGAUAGCGAACAAGUACCGUGAGGGAAAGAUGAAAAGAACUUUGGAAAGAGAGUUAAACAGUACGUGAAAUUGUUGAAAGGGAAACGCUUGAAGUCAGUCGCAUUGGCCAGAAAUCAACCUUGCAUUUUUGCCUGGUGUAUUUUCUAGUUAAUGGGUCAGCAUCAAUUUUGACCAAUAGAAAAAGAUCAAAGGAAUGUGGCAUCUUCGGAUGUGUUAUAGCCUCUGGUUGCAUAUAUUGGUUGGGAUUGAGGAACUCAGCAUGCCGCAAGGCCAGGUUUUAUUAACCAUGUUCAUGCUUAGGAUGCUGGCAUAAUGGCUUUAAUCGACCCGUCUUGAAACACGGACCAAGGAGUCUAACAUAUCUGCAAGUGUUUGGGUGGAAAACCCAAGCGCAUAAUGAAAGUGAAAAUUGGGAUCUCUGUCAUGGAGAGCACCAA